UACGAGGGGGGGCGAGCGUUGUUCGGAAUUAUUGGGCGUAAAGGGUGCGUAGGCGGUUCCGCAAGUCCUGUGUGAAAUCUUCGGGCUCAACUCGAAGUCUGCACGGGAAACUGCGGGGGCUUGAGUGUGGGAGAGGUGAGUGGAAUUCCCGGUGUAGCGGUGAAAUGCGUAGAUAUCGGGGAGGAACACCUGUGGCGAAAAGCGGCUCACUGGACCAUACUGACGCUGAUGCACGAAAAGCUGGGGGG
rnacentral:rRNA from 1 species